rnacentral:rRNA from 1 species
GGUUAAGCGACUAAGCGUACACGGUGGAUGCCCUGGCAGUCAGAGGCGAUGAAGGACGUGCUAAUCUGCGAUAAGCGUCGGUGAGGUGAUAUGAACCGUUAUAACCGGCGAUUUCCGAAUGGGGAAACCCAGUGUGUUUCGACACACUAUCAUUAACUGAAUCCAUAGGUUAAUGAGGCGAACCGGGGGAACUGAAACAUCUAAGUACCCCGAGGAAAAGAAAUCAACCGAGAUUCCCCCAGUAGCGGCGAGCGAACGGGGAG